AGAGUUCCUUUCUGGCUCAGAUUGAACGCUAGCGGGAUGCUUUACACAUGCAAGUCGAACGGCAGCGCGAGAGAGCUUGCUCUCUUGGCGGCGAGUGGCGGACGGGUGAGUAAUAUAUCGGAACGUGCCCAGUAGCGGGGGAUAACUACUCGAAAGAGUGGCUAAUACCGCAUACGCCCUACGGGGGAAAGGGGGGGAUCGCAAGACCUCUCACUAUUGGAGCGGCCGAUAUCGGAUUAGCUAGUUGGUGGGGUAAAGGCUCACCAAGGCAACGAUCCGUAGCUGGUUUGAGAGGACGACCAGCCACACUGGGACUGAGACACGGCCCAGACUCCUACGGGAGGCAGCAGUGGGGAAUUUUGGACAAUGGGGGAAACCCUGAUCCAGCCAUCCCGCGUGUAUGAUGAAGGCCUUCGGGUUGUAAAGUACUUUUGGCAGAGAAGAAAAGGUAUCCCCUAAUACGGGAUACUGCUGACGGUAUCUGCAGAAUAAGCACCGGCUAACUACGUGCCAGCAGCCGCGGUAAUACGUAGGGUGCAAGCGUUAAUCGGAAUUACUGGGCGUAAAGCGUGUGUAGGCGGUUCGGAAAGAAAGAUGUGAAAUCCCAGGGCUCAACCUUGGAACUGCAUUUUUAACUGCCGAGCUAGAGUAUGUCAGAGGGGGGUAGAAUUCCACGUGUAGCAGUGAAAUGCGUAGAUAUGUGGAGGAAUACCGAUGGCGAAGACAGCCCCCUGGGAUAAUACUGACGCUCAGACGCGAAAGCGUGGGGAGCAAAAAGGAUUAGAUACCCUGGUAGUCCACGCCCUA
rnacentral:rRNA from 1 species